rnacentral:lncRNA from 1 species
ACUGGGAGAAGAGGAGGGCUGUGAUCAGGAUGUAAAGUAAAAUAAAUAAUGAAAAAAACAGAGGAAGAAGAAAUAAAAUCUUUUGAAGUCAAUGUAUCGUUUGGGCCCUUUCAUAACUGUGCUGCCCCUCAGUGAUUGCUGUCACCAUUUAAAUGUGUUGGAAUCUCAUGAACUAGGAGUUCUUAGUUUUCUUUUAAAACUCCACAGUUGUUUGCUCAGGCUCACCUUCAUUUUAAUCUUUGCCUGGAAGGGGUGUGGUUUCUCAAGCUACUCCAUGUUACUCGUUGGACUGUCUGCAUGGUGCUGUGUCACUUGGCGAUAGGGUUGCACUUGGUGUUCACUCCCCUCAUUGGGUUGGUGGCCCAUCUGGGAAGUUAAAAGUGACCCGGAGUGACCCGCGCAUCAAGGAAGCCAGUGAUUGCAGUGUGAGAGCAUCUAUUCAUCAAAGGACCUGGCCCUGGCCACAGCUUAAGAUUUAUUUGGGGCAUCUCCUGAGCUGGCUGACCUGGGAGAGUGGCCUUGCAAAAUAUUUUGCUCGUAUCUUUUGAUAUAAUUUGGUAUCUGUCUAAAUAAAUGUUCUGGAGCAGAUGGUUACAGAAUGUCUUAUCAUAUUCUUGGGCAGACUCUGCCCUUGAAAUAUUUUCAUUUAAUCAUCAUGUUGCAAAGCUCAAAACAGUAGCUUUAUUAUUUCUUUUGAGCACAAAAUGAAUCUCACUCAAUAGGUUGGUAUUCUGGUUAAUGUAUUGCAAGCCUAAAAUAUAUUCAAAAUAUAAACCUUUUCUGGGCUGGUCUUAAGCGGAAUUUCUCCACAGGCACUCUUUAUUUUAGAAUUCAUGGAAGAGUAUCCUUCCAUUUGAAGUAUUUGAUGAUGUCAUCUUGGGUGAUAGCCUAGAAGCUGAAGUUCAACAUGUUGUCAACAUUUGUCCUCUGUCCCUAAACCUGAUGAAACACACACACACACACACACACACACACACACACACACACCUCUGCUAUUUCUUUGUUGCUUUUCAUGAGUUUAAUAUCAAAUCCCUUUUCUCAUUCAAAAUCAAUAGCCUACCAUACAAAGUGCUUUGUACUACUGAUCAUGAGAAAGCUGUAAUUAAUGUGUGUGUGUGACAAUUUAUCAGUUGGUGUCUUUUGUUUGUUUUGUUUUAUAGGUGCACUUUUCAAGGGGAUUGCACACAUGCUGGGAGCUUUGAAAACUGGCUGGAUAUUUCAUCAGGACCUAAAAAAUGCCCGAAAAUUCAGAUACUUCGAAGCCUCCGAGAGAGAGUAAGAGGAAAUAAUUUUAUUUGUCUUUAUGAUAUUGUCUUUAUGAUAUGGUACAGCUGCCUUCUGGGUAUAAAGAAAAUCUUUUCACAAUGAAAUAGGCUUCAUGACAGGACUCCAUUCAUUCUGUUGGUGAAUGGUAAGGGCCUGCCAGAUGUUGUCUAUCUGCAAAGUGCCAAGGAUGCAGUAAUAGCCAGGUCAUUCGUGGUACAGCCCACCCCCAUAGAGGCUGCCAUCUUGCUAAGUAAAGAUGACCUUUAGGGGUUGAAAUCAAAGAGAAGAUGCAUUUUUUUUAUGCAGAAGAUAUCCAGCUUGAUUUUAAAAAUAGAGGAACAAUAAGCUCAGACUUAUAGUUGAGUAGAUCCCUGCAAUGUGGAUCUCAGUGGGAUUUUAUUUUGAUCAGCCAGUCUUAAUACCGCUGUCUUCAGUCUUUGAACAACUGCCGGUGCAGGAGUCAAGCAGGAGCAUGCACCAAAGGGUGAUUGGGUCCCUUGGAAAGCUCCUGACAUGGCGUGAAAGAGGGACACAGAGAGCGCAUUGGAGCAGAGCCUUCCCUGAUGCCCACACCCACCCUGCCUUGAGGGGAAUAGAAUUCCUUACAUGAUGCUGUAAGGAGACAUUUCCUCCCUAAUCAUGGCUCUUGUGUUAUGAGUAAUUGCACAGAGUCCCCGUCAGCAGCCAGUUGACCUGUCGACUGCACUCACUGUGUUCUGUGUGAAUGCCACAUUAACAAGGAAAUGGGCCACUUUCUCUUCUCGCUUUGCCAUUUCAAAUAGCAAGAACCACGCCACUUAAGAUGAUUUAACAUUUAAUAAAGGAAAGCCAGGGCAUUUAAUGAGUGAUAAAUAAUAAAAGAACCAAGCUUUCAAGUCAUGACCGAUCAGAACUCAUGGAUUGAAAGUUACUUGCUAUUGUUGCUUCCUGUCACUCUCUGAAGCAAGGGCGAGCUCCAAAUCUCCAAACUCCUGCCAGCUCCGUGCCAGGGGGUCAGAAUCAGAGUAAGUGAAGUUCAGCCAUCCAUACACAGGUGUAGUCAAGUUCUUUUCUUACUGAUCUGAAGAAACAGCCGGCUUUGAUGCUAAGUGCUAGGCAAAAAGCAUUAAGAUGUUUUGAUAUCCUCAGGACUCUGAUACAUGGUUAAGAUUAUGCAAGGAGUUUUUCUCUUUGUCAUUGAAGGAACUGUUAAGGGUGAUACUAUACCUUAGAAUAG